GUUAUGCUGCCGGUAUGCUUGCGAAGUCGCGCCCUGCGAUUGCUGAACCACACCUGAAAAACGGUGCGCGUGACACUUGCUGACGGCAUCUUUCCGAAGAAAUCGAUCAGACGCCGGGGCCGGCUUGAAGAGUUUAUCGUCGAUGAUAUAACGAUGGUGUCCAGUUCUCUCCAGAAAAAUUUCUCCAUUUAUCCGUUACGAAAAUUAUACAGGACGCUGUCUAGCAUAACUAACAGCUUAAUAAAGACGAUCUCCGCUAAUGCAUUUUCAAUGCGAAAUAAUUAUACAGGAUAUUCAAGUAUUGAUUGUUAAAAUGUCAAAAUUUUUUUGCAGUACUGUCAUCAUCGCUUGAGCAUUCUGCAGUUAUUUUGACGGUGCGACAAAAAUAUUUUCAGAUAUGUAUCCAACUAAAUUUUUAGACUUUAACAGAAUUGCUCUUUCUGCGUGUAUAUUUUACUUGUUUAAAAGUAUUGAUCAUCUCUUCUUGAAAAUGCAUUCAUUCUUCUCGGAAUUUGGAGUGUAUUUUCCACUGUGCGUGGUCACUUAUCUUGUUGAAGUUAAUCUUCACUUCUUGAGACUUAUUUCCCAUAGAAGGCCCGCGGCCUCUCUGGCCGAGGACAAUAGCGUCAUGCCUUCGUUUGCUCAACCAUUCGAUACUUGGAAUUAAAUCCUCGGCCAUUCGAUACUUGGAAUUAAAUUCCCCGAGGAAUCCACGAAAUGAACCUCGUAAUAUCCUCGCAUUCAUCAUUUCGUUCCGUAAACAUUUCUAUGCGAUACGUUUCUACCUCCGUGCCAUUGAUAACUAUUUGGCUGAGAGAACCAGCAACUCGUGCGUCCGUUUUUUCUAGCAAACGAGAGAAAAAAAGCGCACGCAUACAAAAACACGUAUAUACGCAAAGAGAGAUCAUCGGCAGAAACUGACCGGGGCUACCUUUGCCAAAUAUUUACCCCUAAGUCGACUCCCUCCCCUAUUGUCCCCGCAAUCGUCCCCCAUUGUCGCUCAAUCGAGCGUUCCCGCGAACCAUUGUACCGGAUCGAAGUCGAACAACGUCGUGCUUUCCCCGCCGUUCUCGUCCCCGUUCGAUCUCCCGAUCGUUUUCGAAAUAACGUUUAAUCUCGUGCACGGAUUUUAUCGCUCGGUCGAACGCACGAGUGGUCGACGGGUGAGCAACGAGCGGCUUGUUGUGACGUCCGACAAUCCAUCCUGGCACAACAAACGGGGAUUAGCUCGCUCCUUUAUUUGCCUACCUACGCCAGCGCGCUAUCGCCGAUUCCGCGAUGCGGAAUUAAACGGCGACGACAGUAAUUCUAUUUCUUACGCCGCCGGCCCGUUCGGCUGAUGGCCGUCCGACCGGCGGCCGUUCAGCCGAUUUUUCGCCUGCGAUCCACGUUUUACGAGCUUUAACGUUCAAUUGAGAUCACCAAUUGAGGAGGUCUCUUCCUUGGACUAUCCAGGGAUCCAAAAAAGAGAAGAUUGGUUCGCAGGUCCGUAGAUUAUUUUAUACACUUGUACGAUCUCGACGCAAAGCUUGAGAUUUAUAUAAUAUAGCCUGAAUUCUGG